rnacentral:rRNA from 1 species
UACGGAGGGUGCAAGCGUUGUCCGGAUUCACUGGGUUUAAAGGGUGCGUAGGUGGCUUUGUAAGUCAGUGGUGAAAUCUCGGAGCUUAACUCCGAAACUGCCAUUGAUACUGCUUAGCUUGAAUCAAGUAGAGGUGGAUGGAAUAAUACAUGUAGCGGUGAAAUGCUCAGAUAUGUAUUAGAACACCGAUUGCGAAGGCAGUUCACUAUGCUUGUAUUGACACUGAGGCACGAAAGCGUGGGGAUCAAACAGG